CCCAGGACAGAGUCUACAUCUGCCCUGGUUCUUGUAGAGAUUUCCUGUCUGCAAGUGCACUUAUUUGAAGACAAAGACAAGUCUUGGUGUUCUAGCUAUCAUGUUUUAAGAAUAUUCCUUUUAAAAUGUGGAGCCGAAAUCAUCCUGUAGCCAUGCAGAGACCAAAGCCUCACACACCUGGGUCACCUAGACCUCUGAAGGGAGUUGGGGGUGGAAUCAGGUGACAGACUAACAUUUUCAAAGAUCAGAGCUCGUUGGAAUAGAGUUUUUCAAAACCUGCUUGGAUUUUCCAUCGCUCCAUCCUGCCGCCUCCAGCAAAUUUUUAUCGUGUGCAGAAAAGAAUGAGGCCCCAAAGGACCCGAGUCUGUUAGAAAGCUGAAGAGAGAAAAUUAGAGUUCUCAGAUCCUCAAAGGACUUGUGGGUAUUUGAGGUGAAUAUUGUGGACAAAGCAUGGGAGUGGCUAGAGAUUUGGGUGAGGAUCCGAUCACUUAGAGACGCGUCUCCCAG